rnacentral:rRNA from 1 species
GACAGAGGGUGCAAACGUUGCUCGGAAUCACUGGGCGUAAAGCGUGCGCAGGCGGUUUUGUAAGCCAGAUGUGAAAUCCCCGGGCUUAACCUGGGAAUGGCAUUUGGGACUGCAAGGCUUGAGUGCGGCAGAGGAGACUGGAAUUCCUGGUGUAGCAGUGAAAUGCGUAGAUAUCAGGAGGAACACCGAUGGCGAAGGCAGGUCUCUGGGCUGACACUGACGCUCAUGCACGAAAGCGUGGGGAGCAAACAGG